GCUGAAAUGAAAGGCCCGUUGGCAGGGCUGGUUUAAACAGGGGGACCGAGGCAUCCCCCGGCCUCCUCCGCAAAUAAAUCACAGUUCAAAGGAGCUCGCGUCCCAGCAGCUGGGAUAUUGGAGCCGCGCGGCGGAGGGCGGCGUGUGUUUCCAACCCAUCCGUCACCGCUCCGGAGAAUCGAAAGGCACUGGAAAAGGCCAUCAAAGCAGGUCUUGCUCAGGAAUCACCCGGCGGCGAUGGCCACGACCCGGCGAAGGUCUCCGAGCGAAACCUGGUAGGCGGCAAAGUCCGUCCCGUCCUUGGCACAGCCACGGUCCACGCGCUGGCGGAUGCUCGGGGGCAAGAGGUGCCGGCCCCGCGCCCGCCCAGCCCCUGCCUGCUGGCUUUCUUCUGUGGCCUGCUUGGCGAUUCCAGGGUUUCCAAUACAUGAGGCCAAUGGCCUGCAGAARAAAAAUGAUCUCAGGACUUUGCAUUGAGCUGAAUGAAGCGAGCCUCAUCAGAAGGAGACCUAAUUCUGGAUACCCUCAGGAUGAAUAUUUUAGCCGAGCCCUUCUUUCUGAAUGAGGAUGAUGGCAGGCGGCUCCGACUCCRCGGGACGCUUGGGCGAGUGCCGGCCCUGAAACACAUGUGCUCCCACCGCCGGCGCGACGCCGCCAGAAAUCCCUGUGUCAGUCCUUUCCCAAACUAGACCCGAGCUGUUUGGGUCGCGCAUUGGUUUCUCGGCGAUACUGCAGCAGCGCCGGCGGGAGGAAACUCAUGACGGCCGGUAACCUCGCGUCGGGCGCUCGGUAAAAGAUUCCAGUUAGGAAAUUGUCUCCUUCGGGUUUUGCUUGCAGCGAGUUCACGUCAGCCUCUCGCUGUUUCCUUUCUGCUGUGUACAACUAAUAAAAACAAGACGUUUGUCCA
rnacentral:lncRNA from 1 species